UUUAAUCGCAACCAACUUCACUUACUUUACUUUUCUAAGAAACGUGUAACGAGCAACACCUCGUUCAUAAAACACUGACUAAAAUGUGAUUCAGUAGUUUUUGGGUGCUACGUGCAUACGCUGGCAACUGUGAAUUGAAACAAAAUGGAGUUGGAAUCACCCAACACGUGCUUUACGGAGAAAGGAUGAAAAUGAUCCAUCGUCCAAAUUUUGGGUCCAUAUGGCGCUCAUCAGUCAGCGUGGAGGUUUAAAUGAUCCAGAAGUUUAAAUGUAGGAACGACAUUGGAUUUAACCAUCCCAUGACAAAAUGUGGCCUAGAACUCUUCUGAAAAGUAAGGCUGGAUUUUCAUAUUAGAUGAGCAAUUUAAAACCAUUUCAUUAAUAAGACUACUAAAAUUGGAUGAGAACAAAACCCAAUGAAGCAGAAUAUUGCUAAAAGGAAACUUGAUCCAAGGUUUGGAAUCCUUGGAGAAAACUAUGUUAAAACCAUACCAAUAAAUAAAAAGCUCUUGAAAUGUUAAAAA